rnacentral:rRNA from 1 species
AUACGUAGGGGACGAGCGUUGUCCGGAAUUACUGGGCGUAAAGGGCGCGCAGGCGGAUAUUUAAGUCAGCUGUAAAAGGCAUGAGCUCAACUCAUGUAUGCGGUUGAAACUGGGUAUCUAGAGUGCUGGAGAGGUAGGCGGAAUUCCCGGUGGAGCGGUGAAAUGCGUAGAUAUCGGGAAGAACACCAGUGGCGAAGGCGGCUUACUGGCCAGCAACUGACGCUGAGGCGCGAAAGCCAGGGGAGCGAACGGGAUUAGAUACCCCGGUAGUCCUGGCCGUAAACGAUGAAUGCUAGGUGUGGGUGUCGAGAGGCAUCCGUGCCGGAGUUAACGCGAUAAGCAUUCCGCCUGGGGAGUACGAUCGCAAGAUUGAAACUCAAAGGAAUUGACGGGG